UCCGAGUUGACCCCGGCAGUCUCCUGCGAGUCCCCGCCAUUACGCGCUGGCAACACAGGACAAGGGUUGCGCUCGUUGCGGGACUUAACCCAACAUCUCACGACACGAGCUGACGACAACCAUGCACCACCUGUCACUUUGUCCCCCGAAGGGGAAAGCCCUAUCUCUAGGGAGGGCAUAAGGAUGUCAAGACCUGGUAAGGUUCUUCGCGUUGCUUCGAAUUAAACCACAUGCUCCACUGCUUGUGCGGGCCCCCGUCAAUUCCUUUGAGUUUCAACCUUGCGGCCGUACUCCCCAGGCGGGGUGCUUAACGCGUUAGCUGCGACGCUGAGGGGGUCGAUCCCCCCAGCAUCUAGCACCCAUCGUUUACGGCGUGGACUAC
rnacentral:misc_RNA from 1 species